AGAGUUUGAUCAUGGCUCAGGACGAACGCUGGCGGCGUGCCUAACACAUGCAAGUCGAACGGGGGUAGCAAUACCUCAGUGGCGAACGGGUGCGUAACACGUGAAGAAUUUGUCCAACGGCGGGGGAUAGCCGGCCCAACGGCCGGGUAAUACCGCGUACGACCUUCGGGGGGCAUCCCCUGGAGGUGAAAGCCGCAAGGCGCCGAUGGAGAACUUCGCGGCCUAUCAGCUAGUUGGUGAGGUCAUGGCUCACCAAGGCGACGACGGGUAGCUGGUCCGAGAGGAUGACCAGCCACAUUGGGACUGAGACACGGCCCAGACUCCUACGGGAGGCAGCAGUGGGGAAUAUUGCGCAAUGGGCGAAAGCCUGACGCAGCGACGCCGCGUGUGGGAUGACGGCCUUCGGGUUGUAAACCACUGUCGCGAGGGACGAAGAUCUGACGGUACCUCGAAAGAAGACC
rnacentral:rRNA from 1 species